GAUGAACGCUGGCGGCGUGCCUAAUACAUGCAAGUCGAGCGAACAGACGCGGAGCUUGCUCCUCUGUCGUUAGCGGCGGACGGGUGAGUCACACGUGGAUAACCUACCUAUCAUUCUGGUAUCACUUCGGGAAACCGGCGCUUAUACCGUAUAACAUGUUGAACCGCAUGGUUGAACAGUGAAAUACGGUUUUGCGGUCACUUAUCGAUGCAUCCGCGUCGCAUUGGCUGGUUGGUACGGUAACGGCUUUCCAAGGCGACGAUGCGUAGCCGACCUGAGAGGGUGAUAGGCGACAUGGGAACUGGGACGCGGUCAUGACUCCUAAGGGAGGCAGCAGUAGGGAACGUGACGCAAUGGGCGAAAGCCUGACGGAGCAAGGGCGAGUGAGUGAAGAAGGUCUUCGGAUCGUAAAACUCUGUUAUGAGGGAAGAACAAAUGUGGAAGGAACUGUGGACGGAUUGACGGUAACUAAUCAGAAAGCCACGGCUAACUACGUG
rnacentral:rRNA from 1 species